rnacentral:sRNA from 1 species
GCUGUGCAGGGCAGGGAAGCUCCAGGCAAACAGCCCAGCAAACAGCAGCACUCAGCUAAAAGGAAGACUCACAGAAGACAGUUGAAGAAGGAAAGUGGCGAUGGACCUCAUCCCAAAUUUGGCGGUGGAAACCUGGCUUCUCCUGGCUGUCAGCCUGGUGCUCCUCUAUCUGAUGAGAGUCCCCAAAUCAGCGAAGAGUCCACUUACUAAACAGACAUAAGGAAAUGAAGUGUCCUGGAAGAAUUCCUGCCUGAACCUCUCAGGAGCAUUUGAGGACAUUUAUCAAGUAUUCACUCCAGGCUUGGGACUAUGAAGACUUCAGCUGCUUUCAGCUAAUCAUUGAGACUUUUCACGGGUCUCAGAAUAGAGUCAGGAAAGGACCUGAUGAGUGAAUGCAAUUACUGAUGUUGGAGUUGCUGUUAUUAUUUAUCGUGUACAUAUUACCUCCCUCUCUUGACCAUUCCAGUUCCUGAGUAACUCACCAGCCCUCUGAUCUAUAAAGUCACAAUCCCUGUGACCUGAUUUCUGUUUAACUUCGUAGAUAUGGGACCCGUACACAUGGACUUUUUAAGAGACUGGGAAUUCCAGGGCCCACACCUCUGCCUUUGUUGGGAAAUGUUUUGUCCUAUCGUCAGGGUCUCUGGAAAUUUGACACAGAGUGCUAUAAAAAGUAUGGGAAAAUGUGGGGUAUCUCUUCCCUGUUUGGACCACAUUGCCCUUCAUCACAUGAAGACUUGGGUGGCUCCUGUGUCAGACUCUUGCUGUGUGUCACACCCUAAUGAACUAGAACCUAAGGUUGCUGUGUGUCGUACAACUAGGGAAUGUAUGAUGGUCAACUCCCUGUGCUGGCCAUCACAGAUCCCGACAUGAUCAGAACAGUGCUAGUGAAAGAAUGUUAUUCUGUCUUCACAAAUCGAAGGUCUUUAGGCCCAGUGGGAUUUAUGAAAAGUGCCAUCUCUUUAGCUGAGGAUGAAGAAUGGAAGAGAAUACGGUCAUUGCUGUCUCCAACCUUCACCAGCGGAAAACUCAAGGAGAUGUUCCCCAUCAUUGCCCAGUAUGGAGAUGUAUUGGUGAGAAACUUGAGGCGGGAAGCAGAGAAAGGCAAGCCUGUCACCUUGAAAGACAUCUUUGGGGCCUACAGCAUGGAUGUGAUUACUGGCACAUCAUUUGGAGUGAACAUCGACUCUCUCAACAAUCCACAAGACCCCUUUGUGGAGAGCACUAAGAAGUUCCUAAAAUUUGGUUUCUUAGAUCCAUUAUUUCUCUCAAUAAUACUCUUUCCAUUCCUUACCCCAGUUUUUGAAGCAUUAAAUGUCUCUCUGUUUCCAAAAGAUACCAUAAAUUUUUUAAGUAAAUCUGUAAACAGAAUGAAGAAAAGUCGCCUCAACGACAAACAAAAGGUAAAAUCUGAUGGUGGUUAAAUGACGAUGUUUAGGUUUUGAUAAAUUUAGAUUUUAUACACAUGAUAGAGCAUGUAUCUGUAUUUUUAAAAAUAAAGACAGAGAACUUAUGUUUAGAACAAGAGAAGUCAUUUGGUAGAAAUAAAGAAGGAGAUUGGGGAAGGAGAUGAGAAUGAGUCAGAGAGAUAGCAUUUAAAACUUGAAAUCAGGCACAACAGUUAGUAUGUCAUGAUAUAAACAGUAUUGAGAUAAAAUUUUACCACUUCUCUUCCCUUCAAUAAAUUGUCAAAGGAUAAAGUUUCCUGUUUGAAAAUAUAUUUUACUGGUAUUGUGCUUUCCUCAUAUCACAGAUUGGUAAAGAAUCAUUUUAAGUCCAAGACUCUUAUUUUACAUAUUCUGCAAUUAAAGGUCCUAUGAGGCUACCUGCCGACUGCUGACAUGUAGUGUGUGGUAAAUGUGAGUGUUUCACAGCCUGGAGUGAACAGGGGUCUUCUCUGAGAAUUGAGGUUGCAAGGCUGGCUAACUCAGCUUUGCCUUCACGAGCCCUAGAGGCCAGCCGAAGGAUGUCUGCAGGUCAGGGAGACAGGACCAGGUAACCCAGCUGUCACUGAAGAUUAUAUAGAGUUUGAGAAUGUUGGAAUAUUUGAAAAUGCUCCCCCAAAAAAGCUGCUGAUGAGUUCUGGAAAUGUCAGGAGAUUAAUCUAUACGGACACUGCUGAAGAAAAAGGUAGAAGAAUAAAAGAUCCAGUACUUCUUCCUGGGUAAGCAGUUAUGACCAGAGAUGGAACCGGCAACUCUUUGGCCAGAAAGCUGUAUCCAAAAGACAGAGAAGAUGAGAAACAGGGAGGGCAAAGGCGAAAAAGCAAUUGGACAUGAUAGCUAGAUUUGUUUCAGGAAAACAUCCUGCUUUCCAAGGAUUUAGAUGAAUGUUUUUGUUCACUGGUGACUCAGGUAACACGUCUUCAAGAAGCCAUAGGGAGGUUGAGGGAGGGAAGUCAAGAAGGGAGGUUGAGGACUGCACUUUUGAUUUACUUCUGACUUCACGAGUCACUUUCUGCCAAAGAAAUCUCUCCUUUUGCUUCUAGCACCGACUAGAUUUCCUUCAGCUGAUGAUUGACUCCCAGAAUUCGAAAGAAACUGAGUCCCACAAAGCUCUGUCUGAUCUGGAGCUCGCAGCCCAGUCAAUAAUCUUCAUUUUUGCUGGCUAUGAAACCACCAGCAGUGUUCUUUCCUUCACUUUAUAUGAACUGGCCACUCACCCUGAUGUCCAGCAGAAACUGCAAAAGGAGAUUGAUGCAGUUUUGCCCAAUAAGGAAGCCUCUGAGGAGAAAAACAAAGGGAGAAACAUAGAGAAUGGUUGCUACUGGCAGAAGCAUAAGAUCUUUGUACAAUAUUGCUGGCCCUGGUUCAUCUGUUUACUGUUAUCACAAUAAUGCUAAGUAAAAAAAAAAAAA